CGGUAAGUAUCUCUGAGUGUGGCUUCUUCAGCAGUUCAAUGGCAUAAUCAAAAAUUGAAGACUUUUUUUUCUGCUCUGUUAUUCUCAAGGUGAUGGUCUUGUUUUCCCAAGCUGCUACAGAGCUUCUGCAGCUCCAAGCAUGACCACUAUAUUUGGCUGCUUAAAAGCAUAACAAGGGCAGAAAUCAUAAAGGCUUUGCCCAGAGGGCCUUGAUUGUCCUUGCCUUCUUGUCCUUUGGUGAGAACUUCAUUGGUGGUGGCUCCAAAAAUCAGGAGACUUUCUGUGAUGAAUUCACCAUAAGAACGUGGGACCCAGCCUCCCUUGAAGGACGUCCUAUAUGAUGCCUGUUUCCAAGGGAAGAAGUAAAGUCAAGAAACAAGAUAUCCUCAAGCUACUCUUAGGAUCAGUGUCUGCAUAGAUCUGGCACACAGAAAUGCAAGGAAACAAUUUGUGCAAAGCAUUAAAAAAAAAAGGGGGGACCCUGAGAGUAUAACAAGUGCUCCUGAGAGAGGACAGACGGAGAGGACGCAUGGGCAGGGAUGGCCGCCCUGAGCAGCUGAUGUUCGAGCUAAGAUCUGAAAGGUGAGCUGGGGCCACAGACUUACUGAGUUGGGGGUGAAAUGGGCCACCAUCUGGGGCACAGGAGACAGCUCAUGCCUAGCCGAAGGAACACAAUGCAUUCAAGCUGCUGAAGGAGUGCCAAGCUGGAGCUCAGGGGAGCCUCCUACAGGAUGAGAUGGGAUGGGGUGUGUGGGGGGCAAGACCUAGGGGAUGAGAUUUUGUGCUUUGGUCCUUGGAUGGGAAAUGGGGAGGCAGAAGAAUGGGUGGUGAGAUGAAGUUUUAUCACCAAGGGAGAGGGAAAUAUUCAUGAGGUGUUUACAUUAGGGAUUUUUAUUAAAUAUAGCAAGUGGUAUUGAUCUGGAACUCGGUGA
rnacentral:lncRNA from 10 species